ACGCGCAGCGAAAGGUGCUUGCACCUUUCAAGCGAGUGGCGAACGGGUGAGUAACACGUGGAUAACCUGCCUCAAGGCUGGGGAUAACAUUUGGAAACAGAUGCUAAUACCGAAUAAAACUUAGUAUCGCAUGAUACAAAGUUGAAAGGCGCUACGGCGUCACCUAGAGAUGGGUCCGCGGUGCAUUAGUUAGUUGGUGGGGUAAAGGCCUACCAAGACAAUGAUGCAUAGCCGAGUUGAGAGACUGAUCGGCCACAUUGGGACUGAGACACGGCCCAAACUCCUACGGGAGGCUGCAGUAGGGAAUCUUCCACAAUGGGCGAAAGCCUGAUGGAGCAACGCCGCGUGUGUGAUGAAGGCUUUAGGGUCGUAAAGCACUGUUGUAUGGGAAGAAAUGCUAGAAUAGGGAAUGAUUCUAGUUCGACGGUACCAUACCAGAAAGGGACGGCUAAAUACGUGCCAGCAGCCGCGGUAAUACGUAUGUCCCGAGCGUUAUCCGGAUUUAUUGGGCGUAAAGCGAGCGCAGACGGUUGAUUAAGUCUGAUGUGAAAGCCCGGAGCUCAACUCCGGAAUGGCAUUGGAAACUGGUUAACUUGAGUGUUGUAGAGGUAAGUGGAACUCCAUGUGUAGCGGUGGAAUGCGUAGAUAUAUGGAAGAACACCAGUGGCGAAGGCGGCUUACUGGACAACAACUGACGUUGAGGCUCGAAAGUGUGGGUAGCAAACAGGAUUAGAUACCCUGGUAGUCCACACCGUAAACGAUGAAUACUAGGUGUUAGGAGGUUUCCGCCUCUUAGUGCCGAAGCUAACGCAUUAAGUAUUCCGCCUGGGGAGUACGACCGCAAGGUUGAAACUCAAGGAAUUGACGGGGACCCGCACAAGCGGUGGAGCAUGUGGUUUAAUUCGAAGCACGCGAAGAACCUUACCAGGUCUUGACAUCCUUUGAAGCUUUUAGAGAUAG
rnacentral:rRNA from 1 species